GGAGGCGCUCAAAGGUUCUCUCAGUACGGUCGGAAAUCGUACGUAGAGUGUAAAGGCAAAAGAGAGCUUGAUUGCAAGACAUACAGGUCGAGCAAGGAUGAAAAUCGGACUUAGUGAUCCGGUGGUUCUGCGUGGAAGGGCCAUCGCUCAACGGAUAAAAGCUACCCUGGGGAUAACAGGCUUAUCUCCCCCAAGAGUCCACAUCGACGGGGAGGUUUGGCACCUCGAUGUCGGCUCAUCACAUCCUGGGGCUGUAGUAGGUCCCAAGGGUUGGGCUGUUCGCCCAUUAAAGUGGUACGCGAGCUGGGUUCAGAACGUCGUGAGACAGUUCGGUCCCUAUCCGUCGCAGGCGUAGGAAAUUUGAGAAGACCUGUCCUUAGUACGAGAGGACCGGGAUGGACGUACCUCUGGUGUACCAGUUGUCCUGCCAAGGGCAUGGCUGGGUAGCUAUGUACGGAAUGGAUAAGCGCUGAAAGCAUCUAAGCGCGAAGCCAACUUCAAGAUAAGAUUUCCCACCGCAAGGGUAAGACCCCAGAAAGACUAUCUGGUUGAUAGGUCGAAGGUGUAAGUGCAGCAAUGUAUUUAGCUUAUCGAUACUAAUAGGUCGAGGACUUGACCAA
rnacentral:rRNA from 1 species